rnacentral:rRNA from 1 species
GAUGAACGCUGGCGGCGUGCUUAACACAUGCAAGUCGAACGGAACUGUUCGAACAGAUUUCUUCAGAUUGACGUUCUUAUAGUUUAGUGGCGGACGGGUGAGUAACGCGUGGGUAACCUGCCUCACACAGGGGGACAACAGUUGGAAACGACUGCUAAUACCGCAUAAGCGCACAGUACCGCAUGGUACAGUGUGAAAAACUCCGGUGGUGUGAGAUGGACCCGCGUCUGAUUAGCUUGUUGGUGAGGUAACGGCCCACCAAGGCGACGAUCAGUAGCCGGCCUGAGAGGGUGAACGGCCACAUUGGGACUGAGACACGGCCCAAACUCC